rnacentral:rRNA from 1 species
ACGGGAGGCAGCAGUGGGGAAUAUUGGACAAUGGGCGCAAGCCUGAUCCAGCCAUACCGCGUGGGUGAAGAAGGCCUUCGGGUUGUAAAGCCCUUUUGUUGGGAAAGAAAUCCAGCUGGCUAAUACCCGGUUGGGAUGACGGUACCCAAAGAAUAAGCACCGGCUAACUUCGUGCCAGCAGCCGCGGUAAUACGAAGGGUGCAAGCGUUACUCGGAAUUACUGGGCGUAAAGCGUGCGUAGGUGGUCGUUUAAGUCCGUUGUGAAAGCCCUGGGCUCAACCUGGGAACUGCAGUGGAUACUGGGCGACUAGAAUGUGGUAGAGGGUAGCGGAAUUCCUGGUGUAGCAGUGAAAUGCGUAGAGAUCAGGAGGAACAUCCAUGGCGAAGGCAGCUACCUGGACCAACAUUGACACUGAGGCACGAAAGCGUGGGGAGCAAACAGGAUUAGAUACCCUGGUA